GGGAGGCCAGGGACCUCACUGGGCUGGGCAGGUGCAGGCCACCGCCGUCCCAGUGCCCUCAGAGGCACCUAGACUCAUGUGGACCCGGCCGCAGACCGUUCUGGGCAGCUCUGUCCAGGCCGGCCCUGCCCUCUGACCUGGGGCCGCAGGGGCUGGCCACUGUGGGCUCGGUUCCCUGCCACCCCAAUUCAUCUGCACCCCAAGGAAAGAAAAUGAGGGGUUGCAGCGCCCCAGGACCCAAGAGCCCCCGAACACCAGGGCAGCACAUACUUCCAGUGCCAGGGCCACAGCAGAGCGGGGCCAGGCCCAGCCCAGUGACGCAGGGCAGACGGAAGGGCGCCCUCCACAAUGGAGGGGCGCAGGAGCUGCCGCGGCCAGGACAAACCAACCUCAGGCUGACCUAGGCCGGUAAUGGGUUUAACGCAUCAGGUGCAAAAGAGAAACACCCCACAAAUCAGGGAGAGGAGGGAAGCCGCCCACCCCAUGGGAGGAAGCUGAGGAGUGAACGCCAGGGAUGGGCAGGGCCGGUCCUCGGAGCACUGCAGACACCAGACCAAGGGCGACUGUCAUCACCACGAGAAGGCCCCGUCCAUGGCAGAAGCCAACCUCACCGCGCCGACUGCACCGGAGACGCCCACGAGGACAGCCGGCCUCUGAGAACGCAGCUGAGCCGUCACAGGUCGCCAUCAGCAAAGGCAAGAGUCCAGGAUUAUGCAAACGGAGGCAAGGCUGCCAUGGACUCCAGAGCCUCAGACGCCAUCAACAAAAGCAAAGUGGACACAUCUGCAUCAAAUCCAUCACAAAGACGGCCUUCCAGACUCCGGGGGAAGACGGAGUCUCGCUCUGCCACCCAGACUGGAGUGCCUUUUCCCCUCAUCGUGUGGGAGCCGCCGGGCGACAUCCCGCCCCGGUUUCCCUCCACUCGAAGGCAGUCACCUCGGUUGCCAGCUCCUGCCUCUGUGAUGAUCCCCACGAGGGCUGCAGAGUGAAGGGCACAGCAGGGUUCGGCCUAACUCCCCGGGGAGCCCUAGGCGAGAGGGCUUGGUCCUGGGGAGCUGCCCAGGUCUUCUAUAUCCCCUGGCCUCCAUCCAGUCCCGCACGACUCAGCUCCUGGCCCUGUGCACCGGGCGACGCCUGCUAGGCGCAUGACCCUCAGAGUCAGGCCUGUACUCACCUCAGCAUCUAUCAAGGGCCUUCAAGGAUCGGGUUUUUUUAAUCAUCGUCAAAUAUAUCGUUACUAAAAAGAUACGUACACUUUGGGAGGCCGAGGUGGGAAGAUCACUUGAGGUCAGGAGUUUGAGACCAUCCUGGACAAC
rnacentral:lncRNA from 1 species